AUGUAGGACAAUAUGUCUUUAAGUAGGGAUAAGUUACUCUAAAAGAAAUGAAUCUUAGAUAGUUUUCCCAUCAGGCAUCCUAU
rnacentral:pre_miRNA from 2 species